rnacentral:rRNA from 1 species
AUUGAACGCUGGCGGCAUGCCUUACACAUGCAAGUCGAACGGCAGCACGGGUGCUUGCACCUGGUGGCGAGUGGCGAACGGGUGAGUAAUACAUCGGAACGUACCUUAUCGUGGGGGAUAACGCAGCGAAAGCUGUGCUAAUACCGCAUACGCCCUGAGGGGGAAAGCGGGGGAUCGCAAGACCUCGCGCGAUUAGAGCGGCCGAUGCCUGAUUAGCUUGUUGGUGGGGUAAAAGCCCACCAAGGCGACGAUCAGUAGCUGGUCUGAGAGGACGAUCAGCCACACUGGGACUGAGACACGGCCCAGACUCCUACUGGAGGCAGCAGUGGGGAAUUUUGGACAAUGGGGGCAACCCUGAUCCAGCAAUGCCGCGUGAGUGAAGAAGGCCUUCGGGUUGUAAAGCUCUUUUGUCAGGGAAGAAACACCGGCUCUAACACAGUCCGGGUAUGACGGUACCCGAAGAAUAAGCACCGGCUAACUACGUGCCAGCCGCCGCGGUAA